rnacentral:rRNA from 1 species
CCUACGGGUGGCAGCAGUGAGGAAUAUUGGUCAAUGGACGAGAGUCUGAACCAGCCAAGUAGCGUGAAGGAUGACUGCCCUAUGGGUUGUAAACUUCUUUUAUAUGGGAAUAAAAUGUUCCAAGUGAGGGAUUUUGUAUGUACCAUAUGAAUAAGGAUCGGCUAACUCCGUGCCAGCAGCCUCGGUAAUACGGAGGAUCCGAGCGUUAUCCGGAUUUAUUGGGUUUAAAGGGAGCGUAGGUGGAUUGUUAAGUCAGUUGUGAAAGUUUGCGGCUCAACCGUAAAAUUGCAGUUGAAACUGGCAGUCGUGAGUACAGUAGAGGUGGGCGGAAUUCGUGGUGUAGCGGUGAAAUGCUUAGAUAUCACGAAGAACUCCGAUUGCGAAGGCAGCUCACUGGACUGCAACUGACACUGAGGCUCGAAAGUGUGGGUAUCAAACAGGAUUAGAUACCCUUGUAGUC